rnacentral:rRNA from 1 species
CCUACGGGUGGCAGCAGUGGGGAAUAUUGCACAAUGGGGGAAACCCUGAUGCAGCCACGCCGCGUGAGUGAAGAAGUAUUUCGGUAUGUAAAGCACUAUCAGUAGGGAAGAAGAAAGACGGUACCUGACUCAGAAGACCCGGCUAACUACGAGCCAGCAGCCGCGGUAAUACGGAGGGGGCAAGCGUUAGCCGGAUUUACUGGGUGUAAAGGGAGCGUAGACGGCUGUGCAAGUCUGAAGUGAAAGCCCGUGGCUCAACCGCGGAACUGCUUUGGAAACUGGAUAGCUAGAGUAGUGGAGAGGCAGGCGGAAUUCCUGGUGUAGCGGUGAAAUGCGUAGAUAUUAGGAGGAACACCAGUGGCGAAGGCGGCCUGCUGGACAGAAACUGACGUUGAGGCUCGAAAGCGUGGGGAGCAAACAGGAUUAGAUACCCCGGUAGUC